rnacentral:rRNA from 1 species
UACGUAGGGGGCAAGCGUUGUCCGGAUUUAUUGGGCGUAAAGAGCGUGUAGGCGGCCAGGUAGGUCUGCUGUGAAAACUCGAGGCUCAACCUCGAGACGUCGGCGGAAACCAUCUGGCUAGAGUCCGGAAGAGGAGAGUGGAAUUCCUGGUGUAGCGGUGAAAUGCGCAGAUAUCAGGAGGAACACCAAUUGCGAAGGCAGCUCGCUGGGACGUUACUGACGCUGAGACGCGAAAGCGUGGGGAGCAAACAGG